GACGAACGCUGGCGGUGUGCUUAACACAUGCCAGUCGAACGGAAAGGCCCUGCUUGCAGGGUACUCGAGUGGCGAACGGGUGAGUAACACGUGGGUGAUCUGCCCUGCACUUCGGGAUAAGCCUGGGAAACUGGGUCUAAUACCGGAUAGGAGCCAUUUUUAGUGUGAUGGUUGGAAAGUUUUUUCGGUGUAGGAUGAGCUCGCGGCCUAUCAGCUUGUUGGUGGGGUAAUGGCCUACCAAGGCGGCGACGGGUAGCCGGCCUGAGAGGGUGGACGGCCACAUUGGGACUGAGAUACGGCCCAGACUCCUACGGGAGGCAGCAGUGGGGAAUAUUGCACAAUGGGCGCAAGCCUGAUGCAGCGACGCCGCGUGGGGGAUGACGGCCUUCGGGUUGUAAACUCCUUUCGCUAGGGACGAAGCUUUUUGUGACGGUACCUAGAUAAGAAGCACCGGCUAACUACGUG
rnacentral:rRNA from 1 species